rnacentral:piRNA from 1 species
UGAAAAUUUGGUGUGAUGGGGUCAAAACUU